rnacentral:rRNA from 1 species
AACGUAGGACACAAGCGUUAUCCGGAGUUACUGGGCGUAAAGGGCGUGUAGGCGGCGAUGUAAGUCUAUUCUGAAAGCUCCUGGCUAAACUGUGAGAGGCGAAUGGAGACUGCAUGUCUAGAGUGAGGAAGAGGAAAGUGGAAUUCCGCGUGCAGUGGUGAAAUGCGUAGAGAUGAGGAGGAACACCAGUGGCGAAAGCGACUUUCUGGUCCUUAACUGACGCUGAGGCGCGAAAGCAUGGGGAGCGAACGGG